UGGGGAAUAUUGCGCAAUGGGCGAAAGCCUGACGCAGCGACGCCGCGUGAGGGAUGAAGGUCUUCGGAUCGUAAACCUCUGUCAGCAGGGAAGAAAGUUAUUCGUGCUAAUCAGCGAGUAAUUGACGGUACCUGCAAAGGAAGCACCGGCUAACUCCGUG
rnacentral:rRNA from 1 species